rnacentral:misc_RNA from 1 species
GAUGAAGAACGUAGCGAAAUGCGAUAAGUAGUGUGAAUUGCAGAAUUCAGUGAAUCAUCGAAUCUUUGAACGCACAUUGCGCCCCUUGGUAUUCCAUGGGGCAUGCCUGUUCGAGCGUCAUUUGUACCUUCAAGCUUUGCUUGGUGUUGGGUGUUUGUCUCGCCUUUGCGUGUAGACUCGCCUUAAAAUAAUUGGCAGCCGGCGUAUUGAUUUCGGAGCGCAGUACAUCUCGCGCUUUGCACUCAUAACGACAGCGUCCAAAAGUACAUUUUACAAUCUUGACCUCGGAUCAGGUAGGGAUACCCGCUGAACUUAAGCAUAUCAAUAAGCGGAGGA